rnacentral:snoRNA from 1 species
ACACCUGAUGAUCUCAUGUAUUUCGCUGUGUUCUUUCCGAAUCCUUUAUGUUGAACAUACAUCACCUUGGAGAACUGAUGU